rnacentral:misc_RNA from 1 species
GGCCAAAUCACUUUAAAUUUUUAUUAACCAAUACAAUCAACCACAACUUUACCAGAAAGCAAUUUAAAUAUGGGAGUAAAUUUAAAAUAGAUCAUCAAACAGUCCAUUAUAAGGUUCUAUAAUCCUUGGUCGCAUGCAAACAGGCUAAAUUUAAUAAGAUUUAUGUAAGCUCAAUGAAUCAUGAAAAUUACCCUAUAUUGAAACAAGAGAAUAACCAAUUCACCCCACAACACCAUGACAGAAAUCAAAUUAAAAUGCAACGCAAACCCCUUGUUAUAUCACAGUAAAAUGGCAAAACUUAACCUCGGCAAAGGAGAAACUGGAAAGGCAAAACCGAAUUCCAUUUCUCUAUAUCUCUGUGAGCUUGCUUUUAAGUUGAUGAACAAACUAUUUGAUUAACGUCCACAAAAAAACAAGAGCGCAAAUCAAUAAAAUAAGCAUUUAAUUACCCAUUUAAAGAUAAACAAAAUUAAAUUGAACAGCCAGUGUCAC